CUUCAACGACCCGAGCCGCAGCGGCUCCCCGUCGCCCCGGUCCGCGCCGUAAGUGGCCAGCAGCGCCUGCGCCUC
rnacentral:antisense_RNA from 1 species